UUCGAAAAUUUAUCCUGAGCAAAAAACAGCACUUGUCUUGAGCAUAAGUGAAACAGCGCCCCGAAUUAUUGCCAAUCAUAUGAGUCGCAUCGAUUUUAAACUACUUUUGGACGGCACGGCCAAGACUGAAAACAAUGAAGCGAGCAUUUUCAACUGUAGCGGCAUCGAAUUGAUCACCUUGAGCCAUGGAGAACAAUUUAGAAAAGACUUAAUCGAACGCACUGAAUGUAUUCGACUAUUAGUGGCUGUCACCGUUUUAACAUGCUCUGAUGACUCGGAACGAGCUGAAACGAUCAAUAAAUGGAUUCAAAUUGCAAUUGAUACGAAAACAGCACUGGAACCGAAUUCCAUAUGAAAUUCUUAUGGGGCAGCAAAGAUCACAAGUACUAGCUGUUGAACGGCACACGAAACUCGAACAAAUAUUGUCGCUGAUGGUAGAGAAAUUUUGUGGUGGAUCAAAUUUAACUUUUAAUGGAUGUCAAUCUGGGUAGAACAACGCACAAAUUCAGUAAUUUCAUACGGACAAUAAAGUGAUAAAACCCAAAACAAACACUCCAAAUGAAAUUUGAAUAUCAAACUCACCCUGUCUAUGUGCAAAAAUCAAUAUAAACUAUGAAUACAGGCUCUACAUGUUAUGUGUGGCUAAAAAUUAAAAUAAAAGAUGUGAAAUCCGAAGGUAAAAUUUAAAGCACAGACACCAUUCGUUUGGUGAAACAAAAUACAUUCUAUUGACAAUGGAAGAAGACAAAAAAAAAAGAACGAAUCGAAACUAGUCAGAAUGUCCUUAAAAUACCAUAUGUAUAAGACAAAAACGUGUAUUGAUUUUGAAAAAAAAUCCAAUUUAUUUAUUA